UCGUCCUGCCAAACAAAACACAUAUUUGAUGCAUAAUCCAUGGAACUGUGUCUCUCCAAACCACAGAAGGGAGGCAGCAAGCAAUCCAGCUCAGACAAUGCCAAGCGUGCUCCCAUUGGGAACCUACCUGGUCCAUCUCUGUGCUGCACUCAGACAGCAAAAGGCAACUGGAAAGCAAGGGGAUAAUUGACCAGUUGCAGAAAAAUAAAGAAAAGACAAAACACAGAGAGAAAAGAUGACAAAGAACAGGAAAAAAAAUUUAUGAUGGUGCAAACUACCUUCACAAAGCUUAUCCUGUCAUUCCCCCCAUACCGUAGAAGGCAGUUUGGAUUUGUAAGAACACAUUUCUUCAAGGCUUGCCAGUAAUGGGAUGAGGAAGUUCACAGCUGCUGAAAACAGACACUGGAGUCAGGAAUCAAUAGCUAAAGGUCAGAUCACAGCAAGCACGUGAGAAACAGCUCUAGAAUUUGUGCUUUCAUGUAACACGAAAUCAAAUCCAUUUGCUUUCACACCACCACCACUGCCUUGACCUUGUUUUCAGCAAUCCAUAUCACCCCAAAUUGUUUUCUGUCAGAGUCUGCAGCUCUCUUGUAAAUCUAUCACCUGCUGUGGCAUUCAUUGGAGUGAACACAAACAACAUGUCCUGAUGCGCAUUUAAUUCUCAGAAACGACAGGAAACUGAAUUUUCGUGACGACUGUCUGAAGCGCAGGCCAGAAUGAAAUGUCAGUAUUUAACAGCUAAC